AGGGAGGAUUCAGACAUUGAGCACGAGGUUGUACCGUUGGAUUCAUGAACAACGUCGACAUCUUACCUCAGAGAGAAAUCCCUGAAGCUCUCUCUGUGCCACACAGGGGCCGUGGUGGUUGUGCAGCCUGACCGCUGCAGGAAGGAAGGACCUGCGGUGUCUCUUUCUCUCUCUCUCUCUCCCUGUGAGACAUCGCGGGACAGCAGCCGGUCGCUGAAGGAGCUGCACGGUGAGGACAGGGUGUCCUGGAGGGGGGGGGCACAUUGUCCAGCAGGGAGGACUCCAUUCCCCUGUCUCCCACCACCUCCACAGUGUCCAGAGGACUCCCCAGGACAGAGCUUAUGGAAAAAUCAUGUAUUAAAGGCUCUCAACAUCUGAUGAAGUCUUUCAUCAGUGUGGACCUUAAGGCCUCAGUUAGAUCAUUGAAAUUGAAGCAGAAGACACCGAAGUAAUGAAACAUGGCUUCUUCAACACAUUCAGCUGUAGAGUACGUCAGGGGGGCCAGAACCCAUCUUGUGAAAAGAUUAAAGAAUCACUCAGUGAUUCUAGAGAACUUGACUUCAGCAAGGAGUGUUACGAGAUGAAGAGGUCUGCAUAAUACAAGCAGAAGGGAAUGACUACAAUAAAAACAGAAAACUUAUAGACUCUGUACCGAUAAGGGGGGAGAAAGCCAGCUAUAUAUUUCUCGAAAUUAUUUACAUGAUGAGGAAGAGGACCCUGGGGAGGACAUCCCUUCUCCCUGAGAAACAGACUGUAGCUUCUGCUGAGAGCGA